rnacentral:rRNA from 1 species
AACGAACGCUGGCGGCAGGCCUAACACAUGCAAGUCGAGCGCGCCCUUCGGGGUGAGCGGCGGACGGGUGAGUAACGCGUGGGAACGUGCCCUUUUCUACGGAAUAGCCUCGGGAAACUGAGAGUAAUACCGUAUACGCCCUUUGGGGGAAAGAUUUAUCGGAAAAGGAUCGGCCCGCGUUGGAUUAGGUAGUUGGUGGGGUAAUGGCCUACCAAGCCGACGAUCCAUAGCUGGUUUGAGAGGAUGAUCAGCCACACUGGGACUGAGACACGGCCCAGACUCCUACGGGAGGCAGCAGUGGGGAAUCUUAGACAAUGGAGGCAACCCUGAUCUAGCCAUGCCGCGUGAGUGAUGGAGGCCUUAGGGUUGUAAAGCUCUUUCAGCUGGGAAGAUAAUGACGGUACCAGCAGAAGAAGCCCCGGCUAACUCCGUG